UAGGGAAUCUUCGGCAAUGGACGAAAGUCUGACCGAGCAACGCCGCGUGAGUGAUGAAGGUUUUCGGAUCGUAAAACUCUGUUGCCAGGGAAGAAUGAUUAGGCGAGUAACUGCGCUUGAUAUGACGGUACCUGAGAAGAAAGCCCCGGCUAACUACGUGCCAGCAGCCGCGGUAAUACGUAGGGGGCAAGCGUUGUCCGGAAUUAUUGGGCGUAAAGCGCGCGCAGGCGGUCCAUUAAGUCUGGUGUAUAACCCAAAGGCUCAACCUUUGGCCGCAUUGGAAACUGGUGGACUGGAGUGUAGGAGAGGAAAGUGGAAUUCCACGUGUAGCGGUGAAAUGCGUAGAGAUGUGGAGGAACACCAGUGGCGAAGGCGACUUUCUGGCCUAUAACUGACGCUGAGGCGCGAAAGCGUGGGGAGCAAACAGGAUUAGAUACCCCCGUAGUCC
rnacentral:rRNA from 1 species